CUCCGUGGUCAGACGGUCUCCAUCUAACUCGAUGUACUUUUCAGGCUCCCGGUACUUGCUGUAUAGAUAAACUCCUUCUGGUUGAGAUGGAAUGAAGUCAGGAGACAUGGCAUCACCCUCUAUAACCACUUCCACGAACUCGUUGUUCUCUAGGGCCACCUCGAGCCGGUCCUCGUUGUCCAGCAGGCCCAGGCCCUUGCACCGGCGCACAAGGAAGUGCGCGUC
rnacentral:lncRNA from 1 species